UGGGGAAUCUUCCGCAAUGGACGAAAGUCUGACGGAGCAACGCCGCGUGAGUGAUGACGGCCUUCGGGUUGUAAAGCUCUGUUAAUCGGGACGAAAGGCCUUCUUGCGAAUAGUUAGAAGGAUUGACGGUACCGGAAUAGAAAGCCACGGCUAACUACGUGCCAGCAGCCGCGGUAAUACGUAGGUGGCAAGCGUUGUCCGGAAUUAUUGGGCGUAAAGCGCGCGCAGGCGGAUUGGUCAGUCUGUCUUAAAAGUUCGGGGCUUAACCCCGUGAUGGGAUGGAAACUGCCAAUCUAGAGUAUCGGAGAGGAAAGUGGAAUUCCUAGUGUAGCGGUGAAAUGCGUAGAUAUUAGGAAGAACACCAGUGGCGAAGGCGACUUUCUGGACGAAAACUGACGCUGAGGCGCGAAAGCCAGGGGAGCGAACGGGAUUAGAUACCCCGGUAGUCCUGGCCGUAAACGAUGGGUACUAGGUGUAGGAGGUAUCGACCCCUUCUGUGCCGGAGUUAACGCAAUAAGUACCCCGCCUGGGGAGUACGACCGCGAGGUUG
rnacentral:rRNA from 1 species